UUCCCGGCCAAUGCAAAGAGAAC
rnacentral:piRNA from 1 species